rnacentral:lncRNA from 1 species
AUUGUCUCUAUUAUUGUAUGCAUUUCUCAUUCCAACGGCUUGUGUCUGUACGUCAGGACGCAGAGAUAAUCAGUGGUAUUUCUUCCACAGGGGAACACCGGCCACGAUGGACAUCCGGGACCACAGGGCAGUCGGGUCUGAGGCAGCCUCACAUCAUAUAUCACAUAUAUACAUAAUAUAUUCCCAUGACUUUAUUGUUGUGUGAAUGGUUGUAUAGUUGUUUGUUGUCCUGCUAUGUCCGUUUCUUAACUGUGUGCCAUACAGGCCUGUAGUAGUACUACUCCAAUUGAGCAGGCUGUGGGGCUACAACACUGUGGUUUUCAUUGUGUGUCCAGGGUGAACAGGGAAAAGACGGCUUCCACGGUAAUCCGGGUUUACCGGUAAGAUUUCAAUCCCCUGUCCUUUUUUGAAUGAAAAUCUGUCAAUUGCCCAAGUGUUUGCUUCUACAUACAGAACCAGUGUAUUCUCUCACAUAUUUCUAUAUACUUAGUAUUUCAAAAGGUGGUCCUAACCAUUAAAUAUAACAUAUGUGUAUUCUUGUUUUUCAUAAGGGGAUCCCAGGUUUGCAAGGACCGAUAGGAGAGCCUGGAGCCUCUGGGUGCAACGGAACAGAUGGUGAAGAUGGAAGCGCUGGUUUACCCGGCCACCAUGGUCCUGAAGGCCCCCCAGUAAGACCCUCAUUUGAAACGGCGUGCACACACACUAUAAGCACCAUGGUGGCCUCUGACUGUAUGGACGUUGUGGAAGAGUCUCUAAAGCCUGUUGUUUCUCUUUCAGGGUUUACCAGGACUGCACGGACCCAAGGUACAGAAGAGAAAUUUGAUGUUUUAUCACGACAUUGA